UUUAUCCGGCAUCUAUCAGUUCUCACGAAAUUUAAUUUGAUAAUUUUAUUAAUUAAACUAAUAUUUCUUGGGAAGUCAAGCGGGAUUCCUGAUAAUGUGCCUUUAUUAGAAAAUAGGACUCUAUACGAUCUUAUAAGAAACAAAUUUCAAGCCCAGGAGACGCAUAAUUUUUCCAUUAACAUUACUCAUUUGAUAAGCAUAUCUAAACAAAAAAUACCUUAUAGCAACGAAGAGGAUUUCAAUAAAAACCUAGACGAACUUAAAGGGCUCAUAAAUGAUAAUGUUAGCCACCAGUAUUUAGGACCAACGGAUUGGGAUGGGACAGUUCCAUAUAUAUACAGCAAAUUUGUUCCUACUGCCUCUAUAGAUUCAGAUUGCAUUGUUGAAAUUGAAGUUAAAAAGGUUAUAACGAAACCAGGAAAAUGUUUAAUUAGUAAGGGUAAAAUACAACCUUUGUGCGGAGCGGGUAAAUAUUUAGGAUUUUCUAAAAAAUGUCUUAACUUGAAAACAAGAACAGCG